rnacentral:antisense_RNA from 1 species
AAGAGCGCGACAUUGCUCACAUUGCUUCCAGUAUUUUUCGGCCCGCCUUGCGCGGGCUUUUUUUU